ACUCCACCUGCGCUCCAUUGGGUUCACAUCAGUUAUUAUCCUCGUGUCAAGACAUGUUCCCUUGCGAGGACAGGAUAAAGAAUCACACAUUGGUUUUUCUCAAGGACUUAAUAGCGAGAUCCCAAAUUCUGUCGUCUAAGAUAAGUAUCGAAAUGCGAGCAAUGCCUUGGUUCCAUAUGACGGAACAGAUGAAGAGAUAAUUCAGCAAUGUGGUGGUAAAGUUGACAUGGUAGUGCUUGGAGCUAGCACUGGAGGUACAAUCACUGGAGUAGCAAGGAAACACUAAGGAAAAAGUCCCAAAUGUUAAGGUUACGAAGUUAGUGCAAUAAAUAGCUAUUUUAACUCCUCAUCGGUGG